CCUGUGAGCUGUGCAGGGUUUUUUGGGAUUCCUGUUGGUCAGUUCCCUUGUGAGCUGUGCAGGGUUUUGUGGGAUUCCCGUUGGUCACUUCCCUGUGAGCUGUGAAGGGUUUUAUGGGAUUCCUGUUCGUCACUUCCCACAUGAGUUGUGCAGGGUUUUAUGGGAUUCUCAUUGAUGACUUCCCUGUGAGCUGUGAAGGGUUUUGUGGGAUUCCCUUUGGUCACUUCCCACAUGAGUUGUGCAGGGUUUUGUGGGAUUCUUGCUGGUGACUUCCCACAUGAGCUGUGAAAGAUUUUGUAGGGUUCCAGUUGGUGAGUUCCCCUGUGUUUUAUGGGAUUCCCGUUGCUCAGUUCCCAUGUGUUUUAUGGGAUUCCCAUUGCUCAGUUCCCAUGUGUAUUAUGGGAUUCCCAUUUGUCAAUUCCCAUUUGUUUUAUGGGAUUCCCAUUGCUCAGUUCCCAUGUGUAUUAUGGGAUUCCCAUUUGUCAAUUCCCAUUUGUUUUAUGGGAUUCCCAUUGCUCAGUUCCCAUGUGUUUUAUGGGAUUCCCAUUGCUCAGUUCCCAUGUGUUUUAUGGGGUUCCCAUUGGUCAGUUCCCAUGUGUAUUAUGGGAUUCCCAUUUGUCAAUUCCCAUGUGUUUUAUGGGAUUCCCAUUUGUCAAUUCCCAUGUGUAUUAUGGGAUUCCCAUUUGUCAAUUCCCAUGUGUUUUAUGGGAUUCCCAUUUGUCAAUUCCCAUGUGUUUUAUGGGAUUCCCAUUGCUCAGUUCCCAUUUGUUUUAUGGGAUUCCCAUUGCUCAGUUCCCAUGUGUUUUAUGGGGUUCCCAUGUGUUUUAUGGGAUUCCCAUUGCUCAGUUCCCUGUCAGCUCUGAAGGUUUUUAUGGGAUUCCCAUUGCUCAGUUCCCAUGUGUUUUAUGGGAUUCCCAUUGAUCAGUUCCCAUGUGUUUUAUGGGAUUCCCAUUGAUCCCUUCCCUUCCCAGCCCUGGCCAUUGCCUGCAGCUGAGGCAGCAGCUCCUGGAGCACUCCCCUCUCCAGCUUUCCCUGUCCCCCUUCUCCCGAGCUCUCUGCAGGCAGGGCUGAGCCUCUCCAGGGAAUCUUUGCCAAGGCUUUCCCUGCUUGUUGCCGUCUUCCCUCGGCGGUUCCAGCGCCAGAGGAAAAACAGCAACUUCCCAGGAAGCUUUGAGAUUGUCUUAGGAUCAGACGUCACCUAAUCCCACGGGGCUCUUUAGGAUUCUGUGAGCAGACCGCUGGGUUUCCACACUUUUCAGUCACAUGCCUCCACUUUCCCCUCUUUUUUUUUUAUUCUUUUUCUUUUUUUUUGUUGGUUUUUUUUUUCCCUUUGAUCCCUUUUUAUUUUCCACGCCCACCGCUUUGCGAGAUGUUCGGAGCGAGCUUCUCUCCCCCCAGUCCGAGGAGUGGGGCCAAAUUGCCUUUUGUCUGUGAGUAUUUCUUUGUCCUUUCAGGGCCUCCUGUGAGCGGUGAGCCCGUGUGUGGUGCCCAGGGCUGCCCGUGCAUGUUCGGGCGUGUUGUGCUGACCCAGGCUGGGAUCUCACCCAAGCCAGCCAGGUUUUAGUCGGGAUAUUUGGGAUGGGAAUUGCGGGACCCCGAGCCUGGCACCCCCCUGUUCCCAGCGUGGGGGGGGUCAGCAGGGCCCUGCCCAUCACACGGGGGGAUUUGCUUUGCUGGCAGUUUGUCCCCCCACCCUCUCCUCCUGCUCUGGCAUCACCAAUUCCUCCUCCUCAAAAUCCUUUUGGUCUUUGUGCUUCAUGGUUUGGGGGCUCAGAUCCAACCCCCUGAUGAUGCUUGGGGCUGGUGGAACUGCAGCUUCCCAGUGUCCCAGCUCUGGAAAAGGGCUGGAUCUUCAUUGUCCUGGCCCUGGAGAACGUGGCCAAGGGGUGGAAUUUUUAUCCCCCCUUAUCCCUAGAGCUGCACUGUGCCACCCUGGAGAUGGUGGCCAAGGGCUGGGUGUUGUCCCUGUGUCCCUGUGGCACCCACGCGUGUGGCUGUCACACUGCCAGGUCCCCUGUUCCCUUUGAAGCACUUCCCGAGGGGGUGAGGAGCAGCGAUGGGGCUCUGGGUGCUAAUUACCCCCUCAAUUAAUUAACGCCCCCUCUCCGUGCCGGGCUUCCCCUGCCACCGCCCCCAGCCGAGAUCCCCCCUCCCCUCUUUUGGGGACAACUCGGGAGCAGAAUUCCCUGCCCCGAUCCCCACCACGGCAAACCAAAAAAACAAAAAAACAA